UUGACUGGGGCGGUCGCCUCCUAAAAGGUAACGGAGGCGCUCAAAGGUUCCCUCAGAAUGGUUGGAAAUCAUUCAUAGAGUGUAAAGGCAUAAGGGAGCUUGACUGCGAGACCUACAAGUCGAGCAGGGUCGAAAGACGGACUUAGUGAUCCGGUGGUUCCGCAUGGAAGGGCCAUCGCUCAACGGAUAAAAGCUACCCCGGGGAUAACAGGCUUAUCUCCCCCAAGAGUUCACAUCGACGGGGAGGUUUGGCACCUCGAUGUCGGCUCAUCGCAUCCUGGGGCUGUAGUCGGUCCCAAGGGUUGGGCUGUUCGCCCAUUAAAGCGGUACGCGAGCUGGGUUCAGAACGUCGUGAGACAGUUCGGUCCCUAUCCGUCGUGGGCGUAGGAAAUUUGAGAGGAGCUGUCCUUAGUACGAGAGGACCGGGAUGGACAUACCUCUGGUGUACCAGUUGUCGUGCCAACGGCAUAGCUGGGUAGCUAUGUGUGGACGGGAUAAGUG
rnacentral:rRNA from 1 species